rnacentral:rRNA from 1 species
UACGUAGGGGGCAAGCGUUGUCCGGAUUUAUUGGGCGUAAAGAGCGUGUAGGCGGCCAGAUAGGUCAGCUGUGAAAACUCGAGGCUCAACCUCGAGAUGUCGGCUGAAACCAUCUGGCUAGAGUCCGGAAGAGGAGAAUGGAAUUCCCGGUGUAGCGGUGAAAUGCGCAGAUAUCGGGAAGAACACCCGUGGCGAAGGCGACUCACUGGACACGUAUUGACGCUGAGGUGCGAAAGCGUGGGGAGCAAACAGG